CCGAAGACGCGGUAAAUGGCGCUCAGGCCCGGUGCCCCUCGGCCGCACACCCCAUUACGGCCCCGACAGCUGAGUUCCAAACAGUUAAAUAUGAAACUGUCAACAAGGUCCUGUCUUAAUAACCAAACUUGAGGCCUUUUAUCCUGGAAGAUUUAUGAAGUAAUUUUAAAGAGAUCCAAGCGAACAUCUGUCAAUAAAUUGAAUGCCGGCUACAGGAUUUACAAGCAAGACAAGAAUUUCUCAUUAAGUGCACAUUAACACGGUGGGGAUCAUAAAUAGAAGGAGGCCAGGAUGCAGAGCCUCUCAAGCUGUCAUUAAAACACUAUCUAAGAACUAAUGAGGAAGUGAUGGAAGGGUACUAAUGAUGCCUUGGGCUCCCAACCUUUGCCAGUCUGAGAAGGGCCGUGCAGAAUCAGAGGACUCCAGGGAGCCCGGAUGCUGGCCUAGAGCGGCUCCUCGCAGCUCAUUCCACUGUCUGCUCGGACCUGCAGGUCUCCUGUGUCCACCCUGGGGACAGUGGAGGUACCCACAUGACUCCCUGCACUAUCACCCCCGAUGGAGUUCAGCUCCCCCGCGAUGGCCUUCUUCACAUGGUCCCAAAUACACACGUUCAACAAAGGUUUCCAUCCCAACUACUGCACGUAGGAUGCUGUGCUAAUUAAUGUUUCCACGGUGCGAGGGGAAACCUCUGGAAACUUCUUUUUGGCCGAAACAUACCUUUAACAUGCAGAGAGAGCUACCCAUCGAAGCUCUGUGCUCACAAUAGAACUACCUGUUUGCCGAUGUCACCUGGCUCUUCGGCAGUCCGAUUUUCCUUGAACGGAAGUCAGUGUUGUGUUUUCUGCAUGGCGUGUCUACAUUCUACCCUUGGGCAAGACCGUGUCUGCUGAAGUGGCCCUCCUUGAGGCACAGAUACAGGUUAGGGAGGGAUUGCAGCUAGCACAAACUGGGUAUAUUACCCUUGUGGCUGACCAUGGAGCCGCUGAACUAUAGGGAAAAUGAGAUUAAUUACAGGAAAUGGAGACACAUCAAAGGCAAGGAAAUAGCAGACCAGAAGCUUCUGGUUAAAGGGACCGAGUUGAGAACAAAUGGGGGUCAUGUCGAAGUCAACAAAGACAGAGGUCAAAACAGAAAGGAGUGAAGCCAGGUUGGAAGAAGGCUAGUGCCGCUCUCAAAGUUUGGAACCUGCUGUCAGGACCCAAGACGAUGACAGCAGGAGAGCAAGACAUUCAAGGGAAGACUGGGCCACCAACAUUCAAUCAGAGGAGUGCAGAACGAUGGCCCCACAGGGCGAAAUUGUCAUUCGGUUCUCAGAAGACCUCAGCCAGGAGCUCGUCAAGGGCUCCCCCCAUGGCACCCAGGCUGCUCCCCACUACCACGUGCACGGGAUUCUCCGUCUCCCUCUCUCUUGCCUCCUACUUCCCUCUAACUCUCUGCCCAUCAUUCCCGAUCUCAACCUCCCUUGUCCCGUGUCCGUUUCUGUCUCUUGUGAAACACACUCCCCUCUGCUUCCACAGUGCGAAGUUCUGCUUGGCCCCUGGAAGUCUGCUCGCCAGUGUGGUUCCUUCCCCCCCCCCCACCUUUUUCAGGGUCAUUCAAGUGCAAACAGAGAAGAGUAACAGAUUAUAAUGCAGCCCAAUUAAAGUCCUUGGAUGUCACAAGGCACUAAUGUCAACAUAUCGUUUCAGCAGCUGCGCACGACCAGGAAAAAGAAAGUUGAUUUUUGUUUUCUGUUUUCUUUUCCAAAAUCUGAAAGCCUAAAGAGGCUUCCUAGAAACCCGCCGCAGAAAGACGAGACAGAGCGACAAGACAGAGUGCGGGAAAGCACGAACUAUGCAGAUGCGGAGCUCCUGGGAAGCCAUCUCUAAGGAAGGGAUGGAUUUGAUGAGAGACUCAUCAGAGGACCCGGAUGCUCGGCUUUUAACUUAUUUUUGCAAAGCAGGUAUUUUUGCAAACAAGAAUUAGAGAACGGCCUCCAGCUAAAUUGCAGGGAGUCCCUGAAGAGCAAACCCUCAGAGGGGAGAGUCAGUGAAGAAGAAAAUGAAGAUGACAAGGCUGUUGCUUCUUAAUAAACAUGAUCACAUUUUCGGCAUGCAUUAUUUAUUACUUUUCUUUCACUGAUUUAUUGUCCUAAAACAUGUAAUCUAAUAUGGAGGGGAGCACACACAUGCCUUCACAGAUGUCACCGUGACUUUCUUGUGUUUCACAAAAAGCAAAACACAUGACAACAACCUUAAACGGUCAGGAGGUCGCAGGUCGAACUGACCACUGUCCCCAACUUCAUCUGGUUUUUC